CCCUCCAGGGGGGGGUGAACCCCCACCUUCGCAGGACGCGCGGCAGGAAACCGAGGCGUGGGUGCCUUCUUUCACUGUUUGAUAGCCUUAGGAGGUGGACGUGCUGGCCUCUGUCCGCCCUUCCGAGCGGCAACUGUCUCUCCCUUAAAAGGGACGAGAGUACAUUUGCUGAGCUUCCACGUAAUCUGGUUACGAACCGGAUAUUGUACACAUUCCACUCCAUAACAAGCCCCUUGCAGCUUCAAGCUCCAGCGGUUAGCCACGGUUAACCAGAAAAUUUAUGUAUCCGUUGUGCCUUCUUAAUUGUAAAUAGAAGUAAAUACAUUAUUGCCGGUA